rnacentral:rRNA from 1 species
AACGAACGCUGGCGGCAUGCCUAACACAUGCAAGUCGAACGAACCCUUCGGGGUUAGUGGCGCACGGGUGCGUAACGCGUGGGAAUCUGCCCUUUGCUUCGGAAUAACUCAGGGAAACUUGUGCUAAUACCGGAUGAUGUCUUCGGACCAAAGAUUUAUCGGCAAGGGAUGAGCCCGCGUAGGAUUAGGUAGUUGGUGGGGUAAAGGCCUACCAAGCCGACGAUCCUUAGCUGGUCUGAGAGGAUGAUCAGCCACACUGGGACUGAGACACGGCCCAGACUCCUACGGGGGGCAGCAGUGGGGAAUAUUGGACAAUGGGCGCAAGCCUGAUCCAGCAAUGCCGCGUGAGUGAUGAAGGCCCUCGGGUCGUAAAGCUCUUUUACCAGGGAUGAUAAUGACAGUACCUGGAGAAUAAGCUCCGGCUAACUCCGUG